AAGUCCAAUUUCAAGUAUUUGGGACUUGAUUAUUUAUUUGAAAAAUGAUUCUUUUAUCGAUUUUAAUUCCGAAAAAUGUUUAAAAAUUCUGGAAAAUUCCCGAAAAAUCAUUUUCAACCCAAGACUUGAUUUGACAUCAAUUGGGAUGGGAGACUUAAUGUGUAAUGGGUUGUCUGCUAUCGGUGUAAGGUAUUAUAUGUUGAGAGCGGAAUCAGAAAACGGUUUUGAGCAUAUCUUUUGAUCCGUAAGUC
rnacentral:lncRNA from 1 species